rnacentral:rRNA from 1 species
UACAGAGACUGCAAGCGUUAUUCGGAUUCACUGGGCGUAAAGGGUGCGCAGGCGGCCGAGUGUGUGAGGCGUGAAAGCCCGGGGCUUAACCCCGGAAUUGCACCUCAAACUACACGGCUAGAGCAUUGGAGAGGGUAGCAGAAUUCAUGGUGUAGCAGUGAAAUGCGUAGAUAUCAUGAGGAAUACCAGAGGCGAAGGCGGCCACCUGGACAAUUGCUGACGCUCAGGCACGAAAGCGUGGGGAGCAAAAGGG